CCAAAAACAUAGCCCUAGAAUCUAUCUAAGGUGUAACCUGCCCAAUGAUUUUUAAAUACAACAAAUAAAAAUUGUGAAAAAAAAUUAAAAGGACGCGGUAACCUUGACCGUGAUAAUGUAGCAUAAUCAUUCGCCAUUUAAUUGAUGGAUAGUAUGAAUGGUUGAACGAAUAUUUCACUGUCUCAAAAAGAAAUAACAAAAAAUUAAAAUAAUAGUAAAGAUGCUAUUUAAGAUUGUAAGACGAAAAGACCCUAUAGAGCUUAACUAUAUUCUCUCUCCAAUAAAAGAAAACAAUUCUAAAACAGAGAGAUUGGUAGUUUAGUUGGGGCGACUGUCUUUUAAAAAGAACAAAGACAAGCAAAGUAAAUAAAAAAAACUUACUGUAUAAUUUAUAAAUUUAACAAUUAUGAAAAUAGGCUAUAAUGACCCGUUGUCACUAAAUAAGAAGGAUAACGAUCAAUAAAUAAAAGCUACCUUAGGGAUAACAGGAUAAUUUUAUUUUAGAGACCUAAUCGAAAAUAAAGUUUGUCACCUCUAUGUUGAAUUGAGAUAUCCUGAUAAUGUAGAAGUUAUCAAUGGUAGGUCUGUUCGACCUUUAAAA
rnacentral:rRNA from 1 species